GCCAGGAACUGUCGUAGGAGCCUAGGAUCCAUGAACAAAACAGACCCCAGCUCUACAAUGAUUCUGCUUAUAUUUUGCCUGCUUGAUGUAUCAGUUUCUGAGCUGGUAUGAAUUCUAGAUUGGUGGCAAAGAGAAAAUCAGUGAGUUAGAAGAUAAUACAUGAUGCAACAAAGAGAAACAAAGAAAGAAAAAUAUGAAAGAGCAGUUAAAAGACAUAGAGGAUGAAUUGAGAGGAGUGAGUGUGAAGUCCGUAACAGCAAAAUGGAGGGGUUGAUAGGAAAGAACUAUCUGAAGAGACAGUGACUUAUAUGAGGACCGGAGAUGAGUUUGCAAGAGAAGUUGUAACUGAGAUGUGUGCAUAAAGACGGAAUUUUAAAGAUCUUUAUCCUCUUCAAGGAAUAGCUGGCUGAGCUCACAGGGAGAUGAGCCAGUUUUAGCUUGAGUAACCUGUUUUAGCUUGAGCUCUAGGUUAGGAAAAAAGUCUUUCUGAGAAUUCAUAACCGUGGCUCUGCCCUCACACAGAUUGGCGCCUGAAUUUAUACUGUCAUGACCCAAGAACCCAGGAGUCAAGAAAUUAUUAUAAAAAGUUGUUCCAGGCUAGUAAUACCCUGCAGCAUGUAGCAGAAGCAAACACAAAAAUCCUCCCUAGAGUGACACACCCUUAACCAGGUUGCACAGGAUUCCUACACCUGAAGCUUCACAGAAGAUGAACUCAUGAAUAACAUGAGUAACAACAUGAAUAACAACCCACCAUGAACAAACAUUUACAAAAAUCAGGAUUAGACCCCCAAUUAUUUCAUGUGAUUAAAAUGAUUAAAGAAAAAAAAAGAAUUAAAAACAAGAGGAAAAAAAUCAGAAAAAAUCAAGCAGAUGUGAAAAAGAUCCAAGUGUCACUUUUAGAAAUAAAAAAUAUAAGCACAGAUUGGCUUAAUAGAAACUAUACCGAUCUGAAGAAAAAGUGACUUGGCAGACAUAUCUGAGGUAAUUACAAAGAUUUCAGUACAGAGCAAUAAAAACAUUAACAAUAUGAAAUUAAGAGAUAUGGAGGCAAUCCUGUCAUGCAGAAUAAGUCCCAAUAAUUUAUGCAGACAUCUCCCC